rnacentral:rRNA from 1 species
GAUGAACGCUGGCGGCGUGCCUAAUACAUGCAAGUCGAGCGAACAGACGAGGAGCUUGCUCCUCUUACGUUAGCGGCGGACGGGUGAGUAACACGUGGAUAACCUACCUAUAAGACUGGGAUAACUUCGGGAAACCGGAGCUAAUACCGGAUAAUAUAUUGAACCGCAUGGUUCAAUAGUGAAAGACGGUUUUGCUGUCACUUAUAGAUGGAUCCGCGCCGCAUUAGCUAGUUGGUAAGGUAACGGCUUACCAAGGCAACGAUGCGUAGCCGACCUGAGAGGGUGAUCAGCCACACUGGAACUGAGACACGGUCCAGACUCCUACGGGAGGCAGCAGUAGGGAAUCUUCCGCAAUGGGCGAAAGCCUGACGGAGCAACGCCGCGUGAGUGAUGAAGGUCUUCGGAUCGUAAAACUCUGUUAUUAGGGAAGAACAAAUGUGUAAGUAACUAUGCACGUCUUGACGGUACCUAAUCAGAAAGCCACGGCUAACUACGUG